AGUGUUCUGCGCGUAAAUGAAAAUAACGGAAUUUGCAAAAUUACCAUUACAUAAAAUUGUAUGCAGUUUUGCAAAAUUGUCCAAAUUUUGCUAUAAAAAUCUAAAUAAUACCAAUUAAUUAACUAGAUAAUUUAUAAUUUUCUAUUUUACUAAACUUGUACUUUUAGACAAUCCCUUUAGACAAUCUGUAUAAAAAAUCGCAGGAGAAAAUAGUUUCUUUAUGUUUUCAAUGGAUAUGCCGAGUAUAAGUUCUUUUUACAUCACUGAUAUUCAUUUUUUGCAAGUGCCAUCUUCAGUCAUGGCAAAUUAUAUGUUAAUUUUUCCUACUUCACAAAUACACUACAGAAAUUGCGUCAUUAAAGAGAGAGGAGGAACAACGCUAUAAAAUAGAAACACGCGUUAGAACAGCGACUAGACACUCGGUGUAGUGGAUAAUAUAACGAACACAAUGAGCCAAAGUGAAAUAAACGAUACGUGAAGUGCUAACUAAGAGAAAGAAAUCUAGAAAAGGAGAUACGAAGUUUUGGAAACACAAAGAUCAAUCGAAUUUAUAAACAAAAUUCAUAUUGCUCUUUUAUAUUGCUGUAAGAUGAAAUUUUCCGUCUAUAUUCUAUUAGUGAUAUUGAUACUCAGUUUAGUGGCAGAGGAUCUUUGCCAGAGGCGUGGUAGCAGACGGUAUAAAAUAUCAAGAGGACCGCCUAAAGGACAAGUUAGGACUGAAGAAAUUACAAAGGUGCGUUCGAGAAUGUGUGGUAGAGGUCAGAGACGGGGUAUGGGAAGAUGUCGCCCGACCGGGAAAUAGAGUUGACAGGAGGUCAGUAGUUCAGUAAUAGUAUUUCAGCAGAAAACCGGAUGCACGGUAGAAUGCCAAAAUAUCGUCGCCGCAGCACAACGUAAUGACAAAAAUAUUAUGUGUACCGACAAAACUUCAAUAAAUUAUUAGUCCUGCCUAGAAUACGUGCUUAUUUAAAUUACAUUACAUCUUAUACAUAACAAUAUAAUAAGAAAUGCAAUAAAUUAUAUUUCAGUUUUGACAUAUCCAUAUAAUAGAGAAAUACUUCGACUUUUCAGUGACACUUUUCAUUAAGAAAAGAUUACAGAUUGAGCAAUACAUACAUAUUUCUAUCAAUUCAUCCUGUGCAUUACAUAUAUGGUCCACAAACAAAUAAAUUAAAUUAUAUUUUUUAUUAAUUCUUCAGCGCAUUUCCUCUGCGUGUCUGCUAAAAAGCGCGGCCAUCCGGCGGCAAAAAACAAACGUCAUUAGACGAGGACGUGGACGGAAUAAAUCAUGCUUCAUUAUUCUAACUACUAUAAGGAUUUGAUAUUAACAUUGGAACAAAAUUUAUUGUGAAUAUGCAUAGAAAGAGCUUGUGUGCUUUUGGCUAGCUUCCUGGUAGGAAAACAUGUAGCUGAUGCAAAGAGAAGUAAGUAUUUUAUUAAAAGAAUAUAUUUAAAAAUAUAUUCAAUUUUAAAAGAGAUAGAAUAAUUGUAAUGUACAGUAGUUCAAGCAGAGAACCAAUCGCUACCAAAUUUAUAUGUCCCAGAACAUAUAUUUUCUUCACCAGUAAUAACAGCCGUAUUCAAUUAAAUGAACAGCCUUUUUAACAUUCAAAUUAUUAUUAUACAUCAGCUAUCAUUCUAUUUACUAUUGUUUGGGACAGAUAUGCCUUUCCAAAACCCUAGUGGAUUAUUAUAGUCCCAGCUCUAUCGCUUUACCGUCAAACAUAUAACUUCAAUUUUUUUUUUGCAAAAAAAGCAUUAUGCCGAGUGUUCAGCGUUACAAUCCACAGGAUAUUUUAGACACUUUCCGACAAUUCAGAAAAAAAUGUUUUAGAAGAAAAAUUCAUCUGUUCCGUGCAAACUACCACAUGCAGUACAAAAAUUUUGGUAAAACUGCAUAAAAGGUAAUACUUUACCGAUUUUUUCUUUUUGAAGUGUUUUAAAAUAGUAUUCUGUAUAUAAAGUGGUAUAUAUAGAAUAGUAUUUUGAGUAAUUUAUUCCUAUAACUAUAUGGAGAUCGCAUGUAGUUUCUGAGAUAUUUGAGUUUAAAGUUUUGAAAAUGUACAUGUUAUAAAUGGAUCUAACCCUGGCAAUUAUACAUAGAAAUACAUAAAAAUAUAGUAAACAAUAUUAAAUAAAUUUCAAUAUUGAAUAAUUUUCAAUUUAUAUUGUAUACAAAAAUUUUGUUUCAUUUAUAAAAUAUCUUUUGUUAAUAACUUUUUAACAAACAAUGAGCGACGCUUAAAACUUUUUAAAUGUUACUUAAGGACAUAUCCGUGAUAACAUAGGCCAAUAUCGUAAGAGCACGGUCCUCUAUUCAGUAUUUUUACCACGUUUUCAACCAUGAGAUCGAACCAUGUGAACUGAAAGUGACUUAAUAGAAUAGUGUUCUGCGCGUAAAUGAAAAUAACGGAAUUUGCAAAAUUACCAUUACAUAAAAUUGUAUGCAGUUUUGCAAAAUUGUCCAAAUUUUGCUAUAAAAAUCUAAAUAAUACCAAUUAAUUAACUAGAUAAUUUAUAAUUUUCUAUUUUACUAAACUUGUACUUUUAGACAAUCCCUUUAGACAAUCUGUAUAAAAAAUCGCAGGAGAAAAUAGUUUCUUUAUGUUUUCAAUGGAUAUGCCGAGUAUAAGUUCUUUUUACAUCACUGAUAUUCAUUUUUUGCAAGUGCCAUCUUCAGUCAUGGCAAAUUAUAUGUUAAUUUUUCCUACUUCACAAAUACACUACAGAAAUUGCGUCAUUAAAGAGAGAGGAGGAACAAUGUUAUAAAAUAGAAACACGCGUUAGAACAGCGACUAGACACUCGGUGUAGUGGAUAAUAUAAUGAACAUAAUGAACCAAAGUGAAAUAAGCGAUACGUGAAGUGCUAACUAAGAGAAAGAAAUCUAGAAAAGGAGAUACGAAGUUUUGGAAACACAAACAUCAAUCGAAUUUAUAAACAAAAUUCAUAUUGCUCUUUUAUAUUGCUGUAAGAUGAAAUUUUCCGUCUAUAUUCUAUUAGUGAUAAUAAUACUCAGUUUAGUAUCAGACGGCCUUUGCCAGAGACGUGGUAACAGACGGAAUCAAGUAUCAAGAAAUCGGCCUAGAGGACUAAUCACGAAUAAUGUAAUUACAAAGGUGCGUUCGAGAAUGUGUCCCAGAGGUCAGAGGCCGGUUAUGGGAAGAUGUCGCCCGACCGGGAAAUAGAGUUGACAGGUCCAAAGAGAUCAGUAGUUCAAUAAUAGUAUUUCUGCUAAAAACCGGAUAUACAAUAGAAUUCCAAAAUAUCGUCGCCGCAGCACAAAGUAAUGAUAAAAAUAUUAUGUGUACCGACAAAACUUCAAUAAAUUAUUAGUUCUGUCUAGAAUGCGUGCUUAUUUAAAUUUACAUGUUAUAUAUAAAAAUAUAAUGAGAGAAAGAAAGAGAAUUAUGCAGUAAAUUAU